rnacentral:lncRNA from 1 species
UGCCGUAUUCUCAGAAUCUCCCAAUUUAUCAGGGUUUCUGUCUUGGCAUUGAGAAAUGCCACGCUGGUAAGCUAGUCUCGAUUAUCCCUCAGACAUUCUAAUGUGUGGACUUGCAUAUUUAACUAUGUAAUGUAUCUGGACUUUGCUUCUAAGAAAUUUAUUUAUUUAAGAAACAGAGACACAUGCCGAGAUCAGAGAGAGAGAGAGGUCCUCUUGGCUGGUUCUCUCCCCAGAUUCCCACCGUGCUGGGGCGGGCCUGGGGCCUAGGCCAGGAGUGAGGAUCGCAGUCCACGUUCCCAAGGCUGCACGGGCAGGAAACUGGGGAGAGGCGUAGCUGCAGGCUGCACCCGAGCCCACCCCCGUGACAGGUGUCUGCUCUGCGAGGUCCAGUGGCUGCCCCUGGAGUUGACGUCUGUGUCGGAGGCGAGGCAGGGCUUCCGCUUUCGUUACUGGGUGAUGGAAUUCCUACCGCUCUGCUGCUUGCUGAAGUCCUUCGGUUCUGUUGGUUGGUUGGAAGGAUUUUCCAGGUUUUAGGUCUCGUUCUGCCAUCUGGAAGAUGAAUCCCGCAGCAGGAGAAUCGGGAGUGUGUUGUUCACCUUUCAGCGUCCCCGCAGACACGGUGUCAGCUGCUGGAGUAUCGACUGUCCCCCAUCCCGCCUCCGUCCCAGGCUCCCCGUGUGCCCUGCCGCCCGGUCUGAGCGCCUGUGCCUUGCUCAGCCGGGGCGUUGUUCUACGGUCCUCCCCUCGCUCUCUGCCCUCCUUAGGAGCCUCACUGAACGGUUGUCCAUACUUCUCGUCUCUUCUUCGCGGUUUCCGCCUCUGCUCCUGUGUGAUCUCUCAGCUCCGCCUCCUUCACGAACCCGCUCCUUUGCCGGGUCCAACGUGCUUGGCCAGCGGCUCAGGAACGCUCACGGGCACGGGCUUGACAUUCCAUACAAAUUACAUGUUUAUGGCAGAAAAUGUGGACGACUCAGAACACGAUCUCUAAGAAAAUAAAAGUCACGUGUGGCUCCA